rfam:Trichobilharzia regenti genome assembly, scaffold: TRE_contig0040254
AUCCAGCUGACGAGUCCCAAAUAGAACGAAAUGCGCAUCCUGGAU